AUUGAACGCUGGCGGCAUGCUUUACACAUGCGGGUCGAACGGCAGCGCGGGCUUCGGCCUGGCGGCGAGUGGCGAACGGGUGAGUAAUACAUCGGAACGUGCCCAGUAGUGGGGGAUAGCUCGGCGAAAGCCGGAUUAAUACCGCAUACGACCUGAGGGUGAAAGCGGGGGAUCUUCGGACCUCGCGCUAUUGGAGCGGCCGAUGGCAGAUUAGCUAGUUGGUGGGGUAAAGGCCUACCAAGGCGACGAUCUGUAGCUGGUCUGAGAGGACGACCAGCCACACUGGGACUGAGACACGGCCCAGACUCCUACGGGAGGCAGCAGUGGGGAAUUUUGGACAAUGGGCGAAAGCCUGAUCCAGCAAUGCCGCGUGUGUGAUGAAGGCCUUCGGGUUGUAAAGCACUUUUGGCGGGAACGAAAAGGACUGUGCCAAUACCACGGUUCGAUGACGGUACCCGCAGAAUAAGCACCGGCUAACUACGUG
rnacentral:rRNA from 1 species